rnacentral:snRNA from 1 species
GUGUUCACUUUGGCAGCAGCACAUACUAAAACUGGAACUAUACAGAGAUUAGCAUGACCUUCACACAAAAAUGAUGAGCAAAUUCACAAAGCAUUAUUUUUU